GUCUUUUUUAAGGACUCUUUUAUCUUACAAAUUAAUUACAAUGAUGAAGCUUUGAGUUUCUUUUGGUACUGAAGAUGAAGGCAUCCUUCACAUUCUACCCUAUCCUGCUAUUUCUUCUCGUCUCAGUUGAAUUUGGCACUUGCUCAGUGGUUCGUGGCGAUGCACACGCCGUGAGGAUCCCGGAGCACUCGUGCCAUAAGCUGAUUGAUCAAUCAAUCAGAUGUGAGCUGCAAAAUUGCAUCAAGGAAUGCUCCAAAGAACUAUCUGGUGUCGGAGUGUGCAAAAGUCGAGUCUGUUUUUGCACAUACUAUUGUAAGGAUCCUCCAAAGUGAUUAUGAGUUAUUUCAUGAGGGCCCGAGGACACGUACAUACGGGCUAUAAAAGGAAUAUCAAGCACAUAACAUUGUUAA